CAACAGCAGGGAUGAGUGUCGCAACAAGAGUCUAAAGCCUACAAUAUGUACUCUCUGCUCUGUUACAGAAAAAGCUUGCUUACCUCUGUUCUGGGUCUUUAGGGGACAAAACUCGAAAAAGGAAAACCUGAAGACAAAGGAUAUGACGCUAACACAGAAGAAGCAUUUAGCACAGAGGAGCGUGAAUUCUGAGGCAGAAGAGACGUACAUGUCAAGACAAGCCUGGUGACGGCGGCAACCCCGGGACUCUGUUAGCUAUGAGAGGCCAGCCCGCUUUGUGAAGGGUGACCAUGCUCCUUUCAGAAUGCAGAAUCAGGGAGACAGAGGGGGCCUGGUCCAUCUGUGUCUGCCCCACCAACCACCAUAACUGUGUUGGCUCCUUCUAUACACCCACUUCACCACCCUUCUCUUCACCAGCCCUUCGCAUCAUGUGACCCACCGAUGAAGAGGGCUGGGGCUGCCACAGGGAAUGGAUGAAAUCCAGACUCCAGGAGGAUGUGAUGAUAGAACGAUCUGGACACAGCGAAUGAACACAGACUUCGGUGGUGGAGGGUUGAGGCUGGAACUCUGCUCCAGCACUUGCCAGGCAUGGCCUUGAGUACAGUGCUGUGCUACCUCACCUCUAAAAACGAGGAUCAUCAGAGGCUUGUCGCUAAGGAAUGUCAAUCUGCUCCCCAGAAUGAGGACUCAGAAGUUACAAGACAAACUAAAUAAUACUGAACACCGACAUGACGAACCUCCUAAAAUAAAGCAAGCACCUCCAACGAGGGGUCUGAUCACUCUCGACUUCCUUCCUCCCACCUCUGCCUACUCCCUCCCCAACCCCAUGGUCUGUAAAACAGCUCUUCUCAAGUCACUUGAUGACAUCCCUGUUGCCAAGUCCAGCUAUCAAGGCUCAGUCCUCACUCCCCCCACACCCAGGGCUCAGUCCUCACUCCCCACACACCC
rnacentral:lncRNA from 1 species